AGGUAAGCUACUAAGAGCGAAUGGUGGAUGCCUUGACUGGUAAAGGCGAUGAAGGACGUACUAGACUGCGAUAAGCUACGGGGAGCUGUCAAGAAGCUUUGAUCCGUAGAUUUCCGAAUGGGGCAACCCAAUGUAUAGAGAUAUACAUUACCUAUAUAGGAGCGAACGAGGGGAAUUGAAACAUCUUAGUACCCUCAGGAAAAGAAAUCAAUAGAGAUUGCGUCAGUAGCGGCGAGCGAAAGCGCAAGAGGGCAAACCCAGUGCUUGCACUGGGGGUUGUAGGACUGCAAUGUGCAAGAGGUAAGUUUAGCAGAACAUUCUGGAAAGUAUAACCAUAGAGGGUGAUAGUCCCGUAUGCGAAAAACAAACCUUAGCUAGCAGUAUCCUGAGUAGGGCGGGACACGAGGAAUCCUGUCUGAAUCCGGGUCGACCACGAUCCAACCCUAAAUACUAAUACCAGAUCGAUAGUGCACAAGUACCGUGAGGGAAAGGUGAAAAGAACUGAGGUGAUCAGAGUGAAAUAGAACCUGAAACCAUUUGCUUACAAUCAUUCAGAGCCCUAUGUAGCAAUACAGGGUGAUGGACUGCCUUUUGCAUAAUGAGCCUGCGAGUUGUGGUGUCUGGCAAGGUUAAGCAAACGCGAAGCCGUAGCGAAAGCGAGUCUGAAUAGGGCGCUUAGUCAGAUGCUGCAGACCCGAAACGAAGUGAUCUAUCCAUGAGCAAGUUGAAGCUAGUGUAAGAACUAGUGGAGGACUGAACCCAUAGGCGUUGAAAAGCCCCGGGAUGACUUGUGGAUAGGGGUGAAAGGCCAAUCAAACUUCGUGAUAGCUGGUUCUCUCCGAAAUAUAUUUAGGUAUAGCGUUGUGUCGUAAUAUAAGGGGGUAGAGCACUGAAUGGGCUAGGGCAUACACCAAUGUACCAAACCCUAUCAAACUCCGAAUACCUUAUAUGUAAUCACAGCAGUCAGGCGGCGAGUGAUAAAAUCCGUCGUCAAGAGGGAAACAACCCAGACUACCAGCUAAGGUCCCUAAAUCUUACUUAAGUGGAAAACGAUGUGAAGUUACUUAAACAACCAGGAGGUUGGCUUAGAAGCAGCCAUCCUUUAAAGAAAGCGUAAUAGCUCACUGGUCUAGUGAUUUUGCGCGGAAAAUAUAACGGGGCUAAAGUAAGUACCGAAGCUGUAGACUUAGUUUACUAAGUGGUAGGAGAGCGUUCUAUUUGCGUCGAAGGUAUACCGGUAAGGAGUGCUGGAGCGAAUAGAAGUGAGCAUGCAGGCAUGAGUAGCGAUAAUUAAUGUGAGAAUCAUUAACGCCGUAAACCCAAGGUUUCCUACGCGAUGCUCGUCAUCGUAGGGUUAGUCGGGUCCUAAGUCGAGUCCGAAAGGGGUAGACGAUGGCAAAUUGGUUAAUAUUCCAAUACCAACAUUAGUGUGCGAUGGAAGGACGCUUAGGGCUAAGGGGGCUAGCGGAUGGAAGUGCUAGUCUAAGGUCGUAGGAGGUUGUACAGGCAAAUCCGUAUAACAAUACUCCGAGAACUGAAAGGCUUUUUGAAGUCUUCGGAUGGAUAGAAGAACCCCUGAUGCCGUCGAGCCAAGAAAAGUUUCUAAGUUUAGCUAAUGUUGCCCGUACCGUAAACCGACACAGGUGGGUGGGAUGAGUAUUCUAAGGCGCGUGGAAGAACUCUCUUUAAGGAACUCUGCAAAAUAGCACCGUAUCUUCGGUAUAAGGUGUGGUUAGCUUUGUAUUAGGAUUUACUCCGAAAGCAAGGAAACUUACAACAAAGAGUCCCUCCCGACUGUUUACCAAAAACACAGCACUCUGCUAACUCGUAAGAGGAUGUAUAGGGUGUGACGCCUGCCCGGUGCUCG
rnacentral:rRNA from 1 species